CAAUUUGAACUAAUUGUGAAUCCCAAAUAGUGUUUUUCUUUCUUUGUUUCACACUUCACGUCUUGUGUUCGACCCAUGCAGGAUCAUGCAUGGAGCCGGAACAUGCGAAGUGACCAAAGUGGCUACUC
ensembl:ncRNA H30A04.2 ncRNA